rnacentral:rRNA from 1 species
GUAGUCCAUGCCGUAAACGUUGGGCGCUAGGUGUGGGAUCCAUUCCACGGGUUCCGUGCCGCAGCUAACGCAUUAAGCGCCCCGCCUGGGGAGUACGGCCGCAAGGCUAAAACUCAAAGGAAUUGACGGGGGCCCGCACAAGCGGCGGAGCAUGCGGAUUAAUUCGAUGCAACGCGAAGAACCUUACCAAGGCUUGACAUGUGCCGGACGGCUGCAGAGAUGUGGUUUCCCUUUGGGCCGGUACACAGGUGGUGCAUGGUUGUCGUCAGCUCGUGUCGUGAGAUGUUGGGUUAAGUCCCGCAACGAGCGCAACCCUCGUUCUAUGUUGCCAGCGGUUCGGCCGGGGACUCAUAGGAGACUGCCGGGGUCAACUCGGA